rnacentral:rRNA from 1 species
AAAUUGAAGAGUUUGAUCAUGGCUCAGAUUGAACGCUGGCGGCAGGCCUAACACAUGCAAGUCGAACGGUAACAGGAAGCAGCUUGCUGCUUUGCUGACGAGUGGCGGACGGGUGAGUAAUGUCUGGGAAACUGCCUGAUGGAGGGGGAUAACUACUGGAAACGGUGGCUAAUACCGCAUAACGUCGCAAGACCAAAGAGGGGGACCUUCGGGCCUCUUGCCAUCAGAUGUGCCCAGAUGGGAUUAGCUAGUUGGUGAGGUAACGGCUCACCAAGGCGACGAUCCCUAGCUGGUCUGAGAGGAUGACCAGCCACACUGGAACUGAGACACGGUCCAGACUCCUACGGGAGGCAGCAGUGGGGAAUAUUGCACAAUGGGCGCAAGCCUGAUGCAGCCAUGCCGCGUGUAUGAAGAAGGCCUCGGUUGUAAGUACUUCAGCGGGGAGGAAGGUGUUGUGGUUAAUAACCACAGCAAUUGACGUUACCCGCAGAAGAAGCACCGGCUAACUCCGUGCCAGCAGCCGCGGUAAUACGGAGGGUGCAAGCGUUAAUCGGAAUUACUGGGCGUAAAGCGCACGCAGGCGGUCUGUCAAGUCGGAUGUGAAAUCCCCGGGCUCAACCUGGGAACUGCAUUCGAAACUGGCAGGCUUGAGUCUUGUAGAGGGGGGUAGAAUUCCAGGUGUAGCGGUGAAAUGCGUAGAGAUCUGGAGGAAUACCGGUGGCGAAGGCGGCCCCCUGGACAAAGACUGACGCUCAGGUGCGAAAGCGUGGGGAGCAAACAGGAUUAGAUACCCUGGUAGUCCACGCCGUAAACGAUGUCUACUUGGAGGUUGUGCCCUUGAGGCGUGGCUUCCGGAGCUAACGCGUUAAGUAGACCGCCUGGGGAGUACGGCCGCAAGGUUAAAACUCAAAUGAAUUGACGGGGGCCCGCACAAGCGGUGGAGCAUGUGGUUUAAUUCGAUGCAACGCGAAGAACCUUACCUGGUCUUGACAUCCACAGAACUUUCCAGAGAUGGAUUGGUGCCUUCGGGAACUGUGAGACAGGUGCUGCAUGGCUGUCGUCAGCUCGUGUUGUGAAAUGUUGGGUUAAGUCCCGCAACGAGCGCAACCCUUAUCCUUUGUUGCCAGCGAUUAGGUCGGGAACUCAAAGGAGACUGCCAGUGAUAAACUGGAGGAAGGUGGGGAUGACGUCAAGUCAUCAUGGCCCUUACGACCAGGGCUACACACGUGCUACAAUGGCGCAUACAAAGAGAAGCGACCUCGCGAGAGCAAGCGGACCUCAUAAAGUGCGUCGUAGUCCGGAUUGGAGUCUGCAACUCGACUCCAUGAAGUCGGAAUCGCUAGUAAUCGUGGAUCAGAAUGCCACGGUGAAUACGUUCCCGGGCCUUGUACACACCGCCCGUCACACCAUGGGAGUGGGUUGCAAAAGAAGUAGGUAGCUUAACCUUCGGGAGGGCGGCUUACCACUUUGUGAUUCAUGACUGGGGUGAAGUCGUAACAAGGUAACCGUAGGGGAACCUGCGGUUGGAUCACCUCCUUA